AUACGGAGGGUCCAAGCGUUAUCCGGAAUCAUUGGGUUUAAAGGGUUCGUAGGCGGGUCAAUAAGUCAGAGGUGAAAUCUUGCAGCUUAACUGUAAAAUUGCCUUUGAAACUGUUGACCUUGAAUUACUGUGAAGUGGUUAGAAUAUGUAGUGUAGCGGUGAAAUGCUUAGAGAUUACAUAGAAUACCGAUUGCGAAGGCAGAUCACUAAUAGUAUAUUGACGCUGAUGAACGGAAGCGUGGGUAGCGAACGGGAUUAGAAACCCUUGUAGUCC
rnacentral:rRNA from 1 species